AUCCUUUUCUGGUUCAUACGUGUGAUGAUUGGGCUCUCACGUGCUUGUGUGACCUGUGCCUCUCUCUAAACCUUGUUAUGACGGGGUACAUUACCCGUCUGAUG
rnacentral:snoRNA from 1 species